rnacentral:snoRNA from 1 species
AAGACCGUACUCUGAACAGAAUCGUUUUAUGAGUACAACCUCUUAACUGAAACUAAACCAAGUUUCAAAUCCUGAUGAAGAUGGUCGCCGGCUCCGCCCAGAGAGCGAUUCGAUGAAAGGCAGGAGCCGGAUCCAGAAGGAUA